UACGAAGGGGACUAGCGUUGUUCGGAAUCACUGGACGUAAAGCGCACGUAGGCGGAUUUGUAAGUCAGGGGUGAAAUCCCGGGGCUCAACCUCGGAACUGCCUUUGAUACUGCAAGUCUUGAGUCCGAUAGAGGUGGGUGGAAUUCCUAGUGUAGAGGUGAAAUUCGUAGAUAUUAGGAAGAACACCGGUGGCGAAGGCGGCCCACUGGAUCGGUACUGACGCUGAGGUGCGAAAGCGUGGGGAGCAAACAGG
rnacentral:rRNA from 1 species